CCCUGUUCUCUAGAUUUCUAUUUUGGUCCGUAGCAGCUCAAGUGCAUGACUUUCUCCAGCGUCUGCUCCGUCCGUUUAGCUCUCUCGAGCCUCCCUCUCCUUCUUUCGAUGGUGGUAGAAGACUUUCUAUUGGCCUGACUUAAAGAUCCCUUGCUGCUCUUGGCUCGCUGGUGGAGAGACAGCAAGGCGUAGUUCCAACGGCACAGCCAAAUUUGGUCCUCGAGAGCUUCCACCAUCCCCACUCUCGCUGCCACGAUCAAAGAAGCCUUGCUCGCAGAGGCCAUUUCCUUACCGUUGCACAAGAUGCUGGGGAUUCAAAGAAUAAUCUGGUGGAAGGCAUUAGUGU
rnacentral:lncRNA from 1 species